CUCCUGGGCCGGGCUCUCCUGAGCGAAGAGCAUCGGGAAGAGGCUUCCGCGGCAGCCUGCGGCCCCCGCCCAGGCGAAGAGGCCGGGAGGAGAGGAGAUUCCCUUCUGAGAACGUUCAUUGAGCGUCGAUGUGAAGGCCACGGCAUUGAGAGACUUGGUAGAACUGUUUCUGUUUUUCUUUCCUUUAUUGAUCAAUUGAUUGAUUGAUUGCCAGGGCCGCGCUCUGUCGCCCAGACUGGAGUGCAGUAGCGCGAUCUCAGCUCACUGUAACUUCCGCCACCCAGGUUCAAGCGACUCUCGUGCCUCAGCGUCCCGAGUAGCAGGGACUACAGGCUCCCGCUGCCAAGCCCAGCUAAUUUUUGUAUUUUUAGUAGAGACGGGGUUUCGCCAUGUUGGCUAGGCUGGUCUCGAACUCCUGACCUAAAGUGACCCACCCCACCCCCACCCCUCAGCCUCCCAAAGUGCUGGGAUUACAGGCGUGAGCCACGGCGCCCGGCCACUGUUUUUCUUUCCUUUCUCGUAGAGCUGGAAGGAUGGAAGGGAAGUAGUGCUCCUCAUAUCUAGGGAGAGAUUGAAGAUUAAAUGCUUCCUUCCUUCUAGGAAAGUGCUGGCUUUACUGUUGCUAGUGAUUAAACCUCGGGUUUAAUGGGCUAUACAAAUCUAUUGCCAAAGAACAAGGAAGAGGAUGGGGGCUUGAGGAAAGGGCAGAGUGUUGGGGAGCUGGGGUAGGAGGUGGAGAAUGGAGAAUAAUUUUUUUUUUUUUUUUUGAGACAGGAUCUUGCUUUGUCGCCCAGGCUGGAGUUCAGUGGCGCGAUCACGACUCACUGCAGCCUCAACUUCUAGGGCUCAGGUGAUCCCCCACCACGGAUCACCUGACCCACCACCACCCCCGGCUAAUCUUUGGUAUUUUUUGUAGAGACUGGGUUUUGCUGUGUUGCCCAGGCUGAUCUCAAACUCCUGGGCUCAGUGAUCCACCCUCUUCAGCCUCCCAAAGUGCUGGGAUUACAGGAGUGAGCCACCGCUCCUGGCCUCUGAGUUCUUCUCAUGGGAGGCUGAGAAAAGUCUGGGGGUCUGGGACAGCCAGGGCCGGGUUUCCCCUUCCAGGCAAUGAGAAAGAACAGGCUCUGCCUCCCACCAUAAGAGUCAAUCCCAAGUUCCAGAUGUGUCAGGGAAGCGAUGGAGAGCCCCAGACUUGAGGCAUCUGCAGACAGGUUCCUGCUCAGACAUCCACGUGGAGGGUGUUAGUAUCCUGGGAGCCUUCAGAACCUUGAAGCAUGCCAGCAGAGGAGAAUGAGGGAAGAUAAAAUCAAAGUGACUUAUCACAAUUAAGGAAAUGUGCUAUUUCAUGUACAACUGUGUGUGAGGAUGAGAUUCCUACCUGCCAUACUGAGGUAUUAUGAUAAGAACUAAGAGAGUCCAAAUUCCUACAGGAUGAACAGCUGAGGGAGCGAUGCAUUCCUUAGGAAGGAGUUUAGCUUCCCGAAGGAGACGGCAGCUGAGAUAGGUUCUGAGAAAUAGCAUUUUCAUUGGUUCCCCGGGCGCCGUGGCUCACGCCUGUAAUCCCAGCACUUCGGGAGGCCGAGGUGGGUAUCACCUGAGGUCAGGAGUUCGAAACCAGUCAGGCCAACAUGGUGAAACCCCAUCUCUACUAAAUACAAAAAAGUAGCCAGGUAUGAUGGCGCAGGCCUAUAAUCUCAGCUACUUGGGAGGCUGAGGCAGGAGAAUCGCUUGAACCUUGGAGGCGGAGGUUGCAGUGAGCCGAGAUUGUGCCACUGCACUCCAACCUGGGCAACAAGAGCUAAACUCCGUCUCAAAAAACCCAAAACAACAACAACAACAAAAAACAAAAUUGAAUGUUCACUGGCUGAGGGUUAGGGUGGGUGGAGAGAAAAUGCCAGUUGUGUGGAUCUGUUGAUGUAAAACAAAGGCCUAGAGGGUGGUAAACUGGAAGCAGUUCAAUGGGACAGUGCUUGAUGGGACUUUGGAGGUGAUGAGGUUUGAUAUAGUUUGGAUUUUUGUCCCUGCCCAAGUCUCAUGUUGAAUUGUAAUCCCCAGCGCUGGCAGUUGGGCCUGGUGGGAAGUGUUUGGAUCAUGGUGGUGGAUCCCUCAUGGUGGAUCCCAGUUCUCAUGAGAUCUGGUCAUUUAAAAGUGUGUGGCACCUCCCCACCACCUCUCUCUCUCGCUCGCUUGCUCGCUCCUGCUUUUACCAUGUGAUGUGCCUGCUCCCCCUUUGCCUUCCGCCAUGAUUGUAAGCUUCCUGAGGCUUCCCUAGAAGCAGAUGUCAGCAUUAUGCUUCCUAUACAGUCUGCAGAACUGUGAGCCAAUUAAACUUCUUUUCUUAUAAAUUACCCAGUCUAGAUGUUUCUUUAUAGCAAUGCAACAAUAGCCUCUUAUGAGUUUGGAAAGGGAUCUGAGCCCAUAUGCCAAGGAACUUGCCUGCCAAAUCUGGACUUUAUCCUUCAGGCCCUGGGAGACCAGUGAGAGGGUGGCAUAAUCCACUCUUUUGGAAGGGUAAAUGUGGCUGUGUGAAGUGUUGGUAGGGGAAGGCAGGGGGUGGGAGAUGAGCAUAUCUUGCUGCCUCCUUCUACCUGUCCUCCAGCCCCCUUAGGCCUGACCAUGGCUGACUUUGCAUCCGGUAGCUCUGAGAUACAGUGCCUUUGCCAAGGACCAUAUUUGAACUGAUCAUUAAUCAAUUCAUUUUGCAGAUCAUUGGUUUAGG
rnacentral:lncRNA from 1 species